rnacentral:rRNA from 1 species
GAUGAACGCUGGCGGCGUGCCUAAUACAUGCAAGUCGAGCGAACAGAUGAGGAGCUUGCUCCUCUGACGUUAGCGGCGGACGGGUGAGUAACACGUGGAUAACCUACCUAUAAGACUGGGAUAACUUCGGGAAACCGGAGCUAAUACCGGAUAAUAUAUUGAACCGCAUGGUUCAAUAGUGAAAGACGGUUUUGCUGUCACUUAUAGAUGGAUCCGCGCCGCAUUAGCUAGUUGGUAAGGUAACGGCUUACCAAGGCAACGAUGCGUAGCCGACCUGAGAGGGUGAUCGGCCACACUGGAACUGAGACACGGUCCAGUCUCCUACGGGAGGCAGCAGUAGGGAAUCUUCCGCAAUGGGCGAAAGCCUGACGGAGCAACGCCGCGUGAGUGAUGAAGGUCUUCGGAUCGUAAAACUCUGUUAUUAGGGAAGAACAAAUGUGUAAGUAACUAUGCACGUCUUGACGGUACCUAAUCAGAAAGCCACGGCUAACUACAUG